rnacentral:tRNA from 1 species
GGAGGGAUGGCAGAGCGGUUGAAUGCGGCAGUCUUGAAAACUGUUGAGGGCGCAAGUCCUCCGGGGGUUCAAAUCCCUCUCCCUCCGCCA